AGCUAGUUGGUGAGGUAAUGGCUCACCAAGGCGUCGACGGGUAGCCGGCCUGAGAGGGUGACCGGCCACACUGGGACUGAGACACGGCCCAGACUCCUACGGGAGGCAGCAGUGGGGAAUAUUGCACAAUGGGCGCAAGCCUGAUGCAGCAACGCCGCGUGAGGGACGACGGCCUUCGGGUUGUAAACCUCUUUUAGCAGGGAAGAAGCGAAAGUGACGGUACCUGCAGAAAAAGCACCGGCUAACUACGUGCCAGCAGCCGCGGUAAUACGUAGGGUGCAAGCGUUAUCCGGAAUUAUUGGGCGUAAAGAGCUCGUAGGCGGUUUGUCGCGUCUGCUGUGAAAUCCCGAGGCCCAACCUCGGGCCUGCAGUGGGUACGGGCAGACUAGAGUGCGGUAGGGGAGAUUGGGAUUCCUGGUGUAGCGGUGGAAUGCGCAGAUAUCAGGAGGAACACCGAUGGCGAAGGCAGAUCUCUGGGCCGUAACUGACGCUGAGGAGCGAAAGGGUGGGGAGCAAACAGGCUUAGAUACCCUGGUAGUCCACCCCGUAAACGUUGGGAACUAGUUGUGGGGUCCAUUCCACGGAUUCCGUGACGCAGCUAACGCAUUAAGUUCCCCGCCUGGGGAGUACGGCCGCAAGGCUAAAACUCAAAGGAAUUGACGGGGACCCGCACAAGCGGCGGAGCAUGCGGAUUAAUUCGAUGCAACGCGAAGAACCUUACCAAGGCUUGACAUAUACGAGAACGCUGCAGAAAUGUAGAACUCUUUGGACACUCGUAAACAGGUGGUGCAUGGUUGUCGUCAGCUCGUGUCGUGAGAUGUUGGGUUAAGUCCCGCAACGAGCGCAACCCUCGUUCUAUGUUGCCAGCACGUAAUGGUGGGAACUCAUGGGAUACUGCCGGGGUCAACUCGGAGGAAGGUGGGGAUGACGUCAAAUCAUCAUGCCCCUUAUGUCUUGGGCUUCACGCAUGCUACAAUGGCCGGUACAAAGGGCUGCAAUACCGUAAGGUGGAGCGAAUCCCAAAAAGCCGGUCCCAGUUCGGAUUGAGGUCUGCAACUCGACCUCAUGAAGUCGGAGUCGCUAGUAAUCGCAGAUCAGCAACGCUGCGGUGAAUACGUUCCCGGGUCUUGUACACACCGCCCGUCAAGUCAUGAAAGUCGGUAACACCUGAAGCCGGUGGCCCAACCCUUGUGGAGGGAGCCGUCGAAGGUGGGAUCGGUAAUUAGGACUAAGUCGUAACAAGGUAGCCGUACUAGUACGUGCUAUUA
rnacentral:rRNA from 1 species